AUGGUGUAUUUUGUUCGGUUUGGGCGCCGGCAAAACAGCCACACCUACGAAAACGGCUGCGCCAGCCAAACAGCUGAGUCAGCCAAAACAGCCCUGGGGGCCAAAACAGCCACGCUGGCGACCUGUGGGACUCCUCCGCAGUGGUUUGAAGGUUAUCACUUCUCUAUGAUGUUCUCUCAGUCUCUAUUUGAUAAGUGAUUUGAGAUUACUAAUUUAGUUUAUGAACCUAUGGAAGAAGAAAGUGAAUGGAAACCAGAUGAAGAAGAUGAGAUUUUGGAAGAGUUGAAAGAAAAUGUCAAGAAUGAAGAUGUGAAAAAGGAUGAAGAAAAAGAAGACCCCAAAGGAAUUCAUGAAUUUUGGUUAACUGUUUUUAAGAAUGACUUACUCAGUGAUAUGGUUCAGGAACAUGAUGAAUCUAUUCUGAAGCACUUGAAAGAUAAUAAAAUGAAGUUCUCAGAUGCUGGCCAGCCUAUGAGUUUUGUCUUAGAAUUCCACUUUGAGCCCAGUGAAUAUUUCACAAAUGAAGUGCUGACAAAGACAUAUAGGAUGAGGUCAGAACCAGAUAAUUCUGAUCCCUUUUCUAUUGAUGGACAAGAAAUUAUGGGUUGUACAGGGUGCCAGAUAGAUUGAAAAAAGGAAAGAAUGUCACUUUGAAAACCAUUAUGAAGAAGCAGAGACACAAGGGAUAUGGGGCUGUUCAUACUGUGACUAAAACAGUUUCCAAUGACUCUUUAAUUUUUCUGCCCUUCCUGAAGUUCCUGAGAAUGGAGAUCUGGAUGAUACUGUGGAAGCUAUUCUUGCUAUAGACUUUGAAAUUGGUCACUUUUUAUAUGAGCAUACAAUCCCAAGAUCAGUGUUAUACUUUACAGGAGAAGCUACAGAAGAUAAUGAUAAUGAUUAUGAUGAAGAAGUGGAUAAGGAAGGGGAUGAAGAAGGAGAUGAGGAAAAUGAUCUAGACAAUGACCCAAAGAAGGAUCAAAACCCAGCAGAGAGCAAGCAACAGUGAAGCAAAAUGUAUGUGGCCUUGAGGAUAACCUGCACUGUAAUAGCCUAAACACAACUCUUAUUUACUUACAGCCUUAUGUUUUUGUAUUUUCUUGGUAGACUAGGUAAUCUUUUAAAGGGCAGAAAACUGAUAUUUUAAAGACCAAUUUGUUCUCCCCAGCAUU